AAGCUUGGUCCUGACUUUCCUGUCAGCUUUGAUUUAAUUUAUACAUGCAAGUAUCUGCAACCCUGUGAGGACGCCCUCACUACACCUUUAAGGACUAGUAGGGCAGGCAUAAGGCACAACCCCAAGUUAGCCCACAACGCCUAGCUAGCCACACCCCCAAGGGUACUCAGCAGUAGCAAACAUUAGGCCAUAAGUGAAAACUUGACCUAGUUAAAAUCAAGAGGGCCGGUUAAACUCGUGCCAGCCACCGCGGUUAUACGAGGGGCCCAAGUUGACAAGCUACGGCGUAAAAAGUGGGUCGUAUGACAUAAAACUAAAGCCAAACACCUUCAAAGUUGUUAUACACUAUCGAAGGCAGGAAGUACUUCCACGAAAGUGACUUUAAACCUUACAACCCCACGAAAGCUAGGGAACAAACUGGGAUUAGAUACCCCACUAUGCCUAGCCCUAAACACAGGUUUUAUUUUACACCUUUAUUUGCCAGGGAACUACGAGCCGCAGCUUAAAACCCAAAGGACUUGGCGGUGCUUUAGACCCCCCUAGAGGAGCCUGUUCUAGAACCGAUGAUCCCCGUUAAACCUCACCUUCUCUCGUAUUUUCCGCCUAUAUACCGCCGUCGUCAGCUUACCCUAUGAAGGAUCUAAAGUAAGCACAAUUGGCAAUGCCUAAAACGCCAGGUCGAGGUGUAGCCAACGAGAAGGGAAGAAAUGGGCUACAUUUGCUGCCCCAGCAAAUACGGAUGAUGUACUGAAACAAAUAUCUAAAGGAGGAUUUAGCAGUAAGGAGGGAAAUAGAGUGUCCCCCUGAAGCCGGCCAUGAAGCGCGCACACACCGCCCGUCACUCUCCCC
rnacentral:ncRNA from 1 species